ACACCGCCAGCCGGCUGCAGCCGCCGACCCCGGCCCGCCUCACCUCAGGCGGCUCCGGCAGCGCUGGACACAGGAAACUCCUGAGUCCCCGUCUCCGGCUCUCGUCGACCCCCUCUUCGGUUAACUCCGCUUGUUUCUCUACAAAAUGGCGCCGGAGGUCGCGCGCUCACGUCGCGGCCUUUCCCCUCCCCGUUCCCAUUUCAUCAUUCGCUGCCCGCCCGAGGAGGGACGGCCCCGGCACCAGCCAAUGAUGGGCCCCAGCCCGGGGCUCCCGCCCAAUCACCGUCAGGUGCCCGCGGAUUUAAACCAAUCAUACACUAUCACUUGCAGAAGUCAAGGAAGAAACCAGGCUCCUGCUAGCAACUACCAAUCCGGACUCCUACUUCGCGGGCUCGGGCCAAUUGCCGCUUCCCCGUCCCUGGGGACGGGAGUCGGGGCCCUCGCGCCUGCGCUCGAGAGGAAGACCAAUGGGGAGACGCAGACAACUUCGAUUUGGGGCUUCACGGACUUCCCACCGGCCCUCGAGGUCUUCGACCAAUCGGAGCCUGGCAGUGCCUCUGAGAAACAAUAAAUAUGGGAGGGGCCCCAUAAACCCUCGCCACCCCGCGCGGGAAGUACUUUGAAUGAGCGUUAGACACUUUUCCCGACUCUCCUAACCCCUUUCGAAGUGCCGGGUCCGGUAUACAGCGGGGCUGCACCCCCCUCCCCUGGCGUCCCUUUGAUAUUUAUUUAUCUGAGAGAGAGCAUCACAGUGAGCGACCACAGACGGGAUGAGCAGCAGAGGGAGAAACAGAAGGAGAAGCUGAUCCAGGACCCCGGGAUCACGCCCUGAGCCAAAGGCGGAUGCUCAAACACUGAGCCACCCAGGCGUCUCUUUUUAAAUUUUUAAAAGAGACAAAGUGAGACCCAUAAAGGUCAACUAUCUGAAGUCAACUCUGAAAUUCUACAACUAGUUCAGGCCUCAAACAUAGAUCUCCUAAAAUAAGUUGAAAUAAAACUGAGUUGCCUUUCCCCA